AGUUUUUAAAUGUACAGUUCCAUCUCUAAUGUUGGACUCAAUUCUCACCUUCUCAGUCUAAAAAGAUGCAGUGGAUAUAAAUAUUCCCACAGAUAUUCCAGAGACGCAAUAUUAAUCAAGCUAUUAAACACAUAAUUCCAGUUGAAAGAUAAUGUAAAAUGUUUAUAUUAAUUGAGAAAGUUUACCCAAGUAAAUAUGUAAGCUAUUACAGAAGCAGAUACUACAGAUAAGCUGCUUCUCAUCCUAUGCAAAAGCAAUGAGAUGCCCAAUCCAAUGGGAAGCAGGUAAUCAAGAAUUGUUUUCAGUUCUCUGUUAGCACUGCUUGUAAAUGGCCCAUGAAUUCUGUGACUCAGAUAUCAUAAAAUCCAAACAUUUAUAAAUAUCUUAAAAGUAACUAGAAAUUUAUUAUCAGAAUAUAUCUGAUUGUAUUACUUGAUGUGAACAAUUUAAGAGAUGCAUACACUAGCAGUGUACAGUAUGAAUCUCACCUAACUUCAGGUGUGCAAUAUUAAAGAACCAGAACAGUCUAGGCUAGUUGUCUAGACUUUCUGUUAUUAGCAGAAAGAAACAGAUGGCCUGGGACCUUACCCUAAAAUGAAUGCAAGUGCUUUUUUUUCUCUGUUGGAUAGAGUGCUGAGAUCACUUAAUUUUAGGACACGAAGUACGAAGAGAAAUGAGCCAUGUCCUGACUACCUGGAAUUAAGGAGCUUUUCUCCUGGAAAACAUUCUGGGGAUUCAGAUAAUCAUUUAUGGGGACAGGCCAUUGUAUUAGACAGACUAUUUGUUUAAGAUUCCAUUUUAGACAGUCAAAUGUAGUCUGUCUGCAUUGCAAUGUUUGAGGGAAUCAGCAAAGUAACCAGGAAAAUUAUGGGAUUUUAAAAGUAGAUCUGUAAGAGACUGAUGUCUUUGCAUGGACUCAAAUGAUUUACGUGAUAAACAAAAGCUGUUGGAAAGAAACCCCAAGGAUGGUAGGAGAUGACUAGUGAUGACAGACUUUCCCCAACAAUUGUGUUCCAUAUAAUAUAUUUUGUGAUCAGUCUAUAAACUCCUAAAUCACUUUUGGAUCCUUGGGCUUUAUCAGAGAGGGAAACUUACUGUUUUGCAGUGUUGAAACUUCUUAAUGUUGUAAAUUUUAUGUUUUUUGUGCAAGGUGACAUAAUAAAAUUGCCAA
ensembl:lncRNA